rnacentral:rRNA from 1 species
CCCUGGCUCAGGACGAACGCAGGCGGCGUGCCUAAUACAUGCAAGUCGAGCGGGUUUAUCCUUCGGGUAAGCUAGCGGCGGACGGGUGAGUAACACGUAGGUAACCUGCCUUUAAGACUGGGAUAACUAUCGGAAACGAUAGCUAAGACCGGAUAACCGGUUUUCUCGCAUGAGAGAAUCGUAAAACACGGAGCAAUCUGUGGCUUAGAGAUGGGCCUGCGGCGCAUUAGCUAGUUGGUGAGGUAACGGCUCACCAAGGCGACGAUGCGUAGCCGACCUGAGAGGGUGAACGGCCACACUGGGACUGAGACACGGCCCAGACUCCUACGGGAGGCAGCAGUAGGGAAUCUUCCGCAAUGGACGCAAGUCUGACGGAGCAACGCCGCGUGAGUGAUGAAGGUUUUCGGAUCGUAAAGCUCUGUUGCCCUAGACGAACAGCAUGAGGAGUAACUGCCUUGUGUGUGACGGUAUAGGAGAAGAAAGCCCCGGCUA